rnacentral:rRNA from 1 species
GAUGAACGCUGGCGGCGUGCCUAAUACAUGCAAGUCGAGCGAACAGACGAGGAACUUGCUCCUUUGACGUUAGCGGCGCGGGGGUGAGAAAAAUGUGUAUAACCCACCUAUAUGACUGGGAAAACCUCGGGAAACCGGAGCUUAUACCGGAUAAUCUACUGAACCGCAUGGUGGAGUAGUGAAAGACGGCUUUGCUGUCACUGAUAGCAGGAUCCGGGCCGCAUUAGCUAGUUGGUAAGGUAACGGCUUACCAAGGCAACGAUGCGUAGCCGACCUGAGAGGAUGAUCGGCCACACUGGAACUGAGACACGGUCCAGACUCCUACGGGAGGCAGCAGUGGGGAAUCUUCCGCAAUGGGCGAAAGCCUGACGCAGCAACGCCGCGUGUGUGAUGAAGGCCUUCGGAUCGUAAAGCUCUGUUAUUGGGGAAGAACAGAUUUGUAAGUAACUAUGCACGUAUUGACGUUACCUGAUCAAGAAGCACCGGCUAACUACGUG